rnacentral:lncRNA from 1 species
CCAAAUACUAGACUAAACAAAUAUCUAAACACAGUUAAAACUAUUAAAUUGCAACACUAAUUNAAGAAAUUNAAAUGCUCAUAAUCACAAAACACAUCAUCANGACAAAGAUGCUAAAAGAAAAGAAAAAUUGGUAAGCACAUGACAAAUGGGAAAUCGGAGAUGACAAUAAGUAAAAGGCACAACGUAUGCACCUCCAAACCAAUGAAUCAACUUUUCAUUCCUUGCUGGCCGUGAACGUCACCCUUCCAAACAAUGAAGCAGCGUGCUCUUUUUCCAAGCCAACAAUGCUUCCAUUUCAACUAAAAAUGAGCUUAAAANUAAAUGUAAAUGUUGGGCAGCUAUUCCCCAUCGUACUAUCACUUUCUCCAAGCAAAUUUCUUCUCUCAACAUCACCACCGUACACCAUGUAUUUAAUCCCAUCUAAUCACCUCUUCAAUCUUAAAUAAAUAAAAGAAAAGAACCUAGAUAUACCUACAACUACCUACCGCCACACAUCCUAUUCCAUCUAAUCUAAUUCCAAUUUCAUCUACUAAUAAAAAGAAAA